rnacentral:lncRNA from 1 species
AAUUGAAACAAACGACACUAGUAUUUAUUCAAAUAAACAAAUCACUUGCACUUAUUAAAGAUUAGCCUUAAUUUGGAGAGGUAACAACCACUACGUGGGACUGUUGGACAUAGUUCAGACGGACAGGUAAGUGCUUCCAGUGGCUGAGAGAAGCCCGGGGCUAGAAGCGUCCAUCCCUCACCUGGAGUAGCAGUCUAUUCCGGAGUCUUUUUCCAAGAUGCCUACAUGGAGGUGGGGAAGGGUCCUACACUAAGAUGGUUUUCUUUAAGUCGGUCUCUUUACUCCUCUGAUCUCAGCAAGAAGACGCAGCAGAAAGCUCAGCCUUAUAAAACCAAGUUUGCACGCCGCGGGCAUUUUCUGGUUGUUCAAGUUGGUUUUGAGGGCUGCCCAAAAAGGGCUCAGUUCUUUGGACCAAAAGAGCGGUGCAGUGGGGCUUGCGGAUGGGGGCGAUGUGUGCCAUCAUCAGGAAGGGAAAGGAGCCGGGAGCCGGGACUGCGUAGCCCCAGCGGCGCGCUCAGGAUUCCGGCCGGCCGGCAGGCUGGCUGACUGCGUUGCAGAGCUCGGUCUUCGCAUUGGGCCUCCGACGCCGCCUCGGCCCGAGUCUGCUGUCUCCCGGCUUCUGAGUGGCUGGGAGGCCGGGGUUAACCUUUCACCUCCGCGCUCCGUCCAAUCACAGGACGGCUUUCAUGAGGCCGCGGGGCGAGCGAGCGAGGGGGCGCGGAGCGGCGGCGCGACGCCGGUGGAAUUCUCCAAGCCGCUGUGCGCCGUCGCCGCGGGCCGAGCGCGGGCUGCGGGCGAGCAGGGCGCUGCGCAGUCUCCGCAGGCGCGGGCGGGAGGGGUCGGGGCGCGGCGCGGUGCGGCGCGGGCGGCUCCGGGCCCAGGUGAAUGGAGUAACCUGACAGCGGGAACGAGGCGACGGCGAGCGGCAGGAAAUGGCGGCGGCGGCGGCGGCGCCGGGCGGCACCGGGAGGCCUGGGCUGUGACGCGCGCGCCGGAGCGGGGUCCGAUGGUUCUGGAAGGCCCGCGGCGCCCAGUGCUGCAGAGCCUGCCUGCCUGCUCCUCAGGGUGUGCUGUCCAAGUGGAUUUAGGCAGACAGCCCAACGUGGGAGCCGUCCUCAGUCAGUACAGUGGCGUGAGUGGAGAAGCGCUGUCCCACUGAGAGAGUCA